rnacentral:rRNA from 1 species
AGCUAGUUGGUGAGGUAGAGGCUCACCAAGGCGACGAUGUCUAGGGGGUCUGAGAGGAUGAUCCCCCACACUGGUACUGAGACACGGACCAGACUCCUACGGGAGGCAGCAGUGAGGAAUAUCGCGCAAUGGAGGAAACUCUGACGCAGCCAUCCCGCGUGCAGGAUUGACGGCCCUAUGGGUUGUAAACUGCUUUUCUAUACCAAGAAACACCGAUACGUGUAUCGGUUUGCCGGUAGUAUAGGAAUAAGCAUCGGCUAACUCCGUGCCAGCAGCCGCGGUAAUACGGAGGAUGCAAGCGUUAUCCGGAAUCACUGGGUUUAAAGGGUGCGCAGGCGGAAUAGUAAGUCAGAGGUGAAAGCCCACAGCUCAACUGUGGAAUUGCCUUUGAUACUGUUAUUCUUGAGUGUAGUUGAAGUAGGCGGAAUAUAGCAUGUAGCGGUGAAAUGCAUAGAUAUGCUAUAGAACACCAAUUGCGAAGGCAGCUUGCUAAACUAUAACUGACGCUGAGGCACGAAAGCGUGGGGAGCGAACAGGAUUAGAUACCCUGGUAGUCCACGCCGUAAACUAUGAACACUCGCUGUUGGCAAUACACAGUCAGCGGCUGAGCGAAAGCGUUAAGUGUUCCACCUGGGAAGUACGAUCGCAAGGUUGAAACUCAAAGGAAUUGACGGGGGCCCGCACAAGCGGAGGAGCAUGUGGUUUAAUUCGAUGAUACGCGAGGAACCUUACCUGGGCUUAAAUGUAUAUUGACGUACUGAGAAAUCAGUAUUUCUUCGGACAAUUUACAAGGUGCUGCAUGGUUGUCGUCAGCUCGUGCCGUGAGGUGUCGGGUUAAGUCCCAUAACGAGCGCAACCCCUACUUCUAGUUACCAGCAUUUCGGAUGGGGACUCUAGAGGAACUGCCUACGCAACUAGAGAGGAAGGUGGGGAUGACGUCAAAUCAGCACGGCCCUUAUGUCCAGGGCUACACACGUGCUACAAUGGCCGGUACAGAGGGCAGCUACAUAGCAAUAUGAUGCUAAUCUCAAAAGCCGGUCUCAGUCCGGAUUGGAGUCUGCAACUCGACUC